ACCAGCUGACGAGCGUCAAAUAGGACGAAACGCACGUCCUGGAU
rnacentral:hammerhead_ribozyme from 1 species